AGAUCAAUGAUAAGCAUAAUUAUCAGAGGAUUCUCAAAGGUUAUUUUCAGAUAUCAGUCAGUCU